GCUUAGAGUUUGAUCCUGGCUCAGAUUGAACGCUGGCGGCAUGGCUAAAACAUGCAAGUCGUGGGAGAAGCCCUUCGGGGUGGACACCGGCGAAAGGGCGAGUAAUGGUAUCGAACGUACCCAGAGGUGGGGAAUAGCGUCGGGAAACUGGCGGUAAUGCUCCAUGUGCUCUACGGAGGAAAGCUACGGCGCCUCUGGAGCGGCGAUACUCCUAUCAGGUUGUUGGUGGGGUAAAGGCCUACCAAGCCGAAGACGGGUAGCGGGUGUGAGAGCAUGACCCGCCGCAUCGGGACUGAGACACUGCCCGGACUCCUACGGGAGGCUGCAGUAACGAAUCUUCCGCAAUGCACGCAAGUGUGACGGAGCAAUGCCGCGUGUGGGAUGAAGCAGCUUCGCUGUGUAAACCACUGUCAGGGUCUAGGAAGAACUGACCAGACCCAGAGGAAGGGCCGGCUAAACUCGUGCCAGCAGCCGCGGUAAUACGAGUGGCCCGAGCGUUAAUCGGAAUCACUGGGCUUAAAGCGUCCGCAGGCUGGCCUGUAGGCAUCUCGUGAAAUCCCACGGCUCAACCGUGGAACUGCGGGGUGAACCACAGGCCUUGAGGUAGGUAGGGGUCAUCGGAACGUACGGUGGAGCGGUGAAAUGCAUAGAUAUCGUACGGAACGCCAAAGGUGAAGACAGGUGACUGGGCCUAUUCUGACGCUCAUGGACGAAAGCGUGGGGAUCAAACAGGAUUAGAUACCCUGGUAGUCCACGCCGUAAACGAUGCGCACUGGGUCGGUGUCCCUUCGACGGGUUGCCGGCCGUAGAGAAAUUUGUUAGUGCGCCGCCUGGGGAGUACGGUCGCAAGGCUAAAACUCAAAGGAAUGGACGGGGGCUCACACAAGCGGGUGGAGCAUGUUGCUUAAUU
rnacentral:rRNA from 1 species